CAUAUCUAAAGGUUACGGAGUCAAACGACUUCUGCAAGUCCGCAUUUUCUGUUAGAGUUUUUAAGCAAUCAACUACACAACAUUAAUCGUUUUGUCUCACGAGAAAAGAAUCCAUGGUAAUGCACCGGGGCGAAUAAACGAGUGCACAGUGGCGGGAAAAUUGAAUAGCUGACGGGCAGGCGAUAGUGAAUGUACAGGUUUAUAAAGGAAUGCAAGCCGUGAAUACGGGGUACACCACGGCAUCACCACCACCAACAACGGCGUAUCACAACGCUGAGAAAAGAUGCAAGGAUUGCUGAAUUUAAACUGCUGGAAGGUUUUUUCCCCACAAGAUUGGAAAGGAGGGAAAAUGCAGGAACUGAUUUCAGACAUUAUUUUGGCGAUAACCAGAGCAAGAAUUAACCUGGCGUCAACCAAGACUUCA
rnacentral:lncRNA from 1 species